AUUGAACGCUGGCGACAUGCCUUACACAUGCAAGUCGAACGGCAGCACGGGUGCUUGCACCUGGUGGCGAGUGGCGAACGGGUGAGUAAUACAUCGGAACAUGUCCUGUAGUGGGGGAUAGCCCGGCGAAAGCCGGAUUAAUACCGCAUACGAUCUACGGAUGAAAGCGGGGGACCUUCGGGCCUCGCGCUAUAGGGUUGGCCGAUGGCUGAUUAGCUAGUUGGUGGGGUAAAGGCCUACCAAGGCGACGAUCAGUAGCUGGUCUGAGAGGACGACCAGUCACACUGGGACUGAGACACGGCCCAGACUCCUACGGGAGGCAGCAGUGGGGAAUUGUGGACAAUGGGCGAAAGCCUGAUCCAGCAAUGCCGCGUGUGUGAAGAAGGCCUUCGGGUUGUAAAGCACUUUUGUCCGGAAAGAAAUCCUUGGCCCUAAUACGGUCGGGGGAUGACGGUACCGGAAGAAUAAGCACCGGCUAACUACG
rnacentral:rRNA from 1 species